rnacentral:rRNA from 1 species
CCUGGCGACCAUAGCAAGCAGGAACCACCUGAAUCCAUCUCGAACUCAGAAGUGAAACUGCUUAGCGCCGAUGGUAGUGUGUCAGUAGGCAUGCGAGAGUAGGACAUUGUCAGGC